CAGAGAGUAGUUUAUGUAAAAUAUUAGUUUUGGGGACUAAUGAUAGGAGGAAUCUCUUUUCUCUGA
rnacentral:tRNA from 1 species